UACGUAGGGUGCAAGCGUUGUCCGGAAUUAUUGGGCGUAAAGAGCUCGUAGGUGGUUCGUCGCGUCGGCUGUGAAAACCCGGAGCUCAACUCCGGGCCUGCAGUCGAUACGGGCGGACUUGAGUGUUGCAGGGGAGACUGGAAUUCCUGGUGUAGCGGUGAAAUGCGCAGAUAUCAGGAGGAACACCGGUGGCGAAGGCGGGUCUCUGGGCAACUACUGACGCUGAGGAGCGAAAGCGUGGGGAGCGAACAGG
rnacentral:rRNA from 1 species